AUCGAACGCUGGCGGCAGGCUUAACACAUGCAAGUCGAGCGAGCGGCGGACGGGUGAGUAAUGUCUGGGACACUGCCUGCUGGAGGGGGAUAACUACUGGAAACGGUAGCUAAUCCCGCAUACCAUCAGAUGUGCCCCGAUGGGAUUAGCUAGUAGGUGGGGUAAUGGCUCACCUAGACGACGAUCCCUAGCUGGUCUGCGAGGAUGACCAGCCACACUGGAACUGAGACACGGUCCAGACUCCUACGGGAGGCAGCAGUGGGGAAUAUUGCACAAUGGGCGCAAGUCUGAUACAGCCAUGCCGCGUGUGUGAAGAAGGCCUUCGGGUUGUAAAGCACUUUCAGCGAGGAGGCGGUACUCGCAGAAGAAGCACCGGCUAACUACGUGCCAGCAGCCGCGGUAAUUC
rnacentral:rRNA from 1 species